GAGAGUGUAGCUCAGUAGUACAGUACAUGCCUAGCAUGCACAAGGUCCUGGGUUCAAUCCCCAGUACCUCCA
rnacentral:tRNA from 1 species